GGAUCUCUGCUUUUGCUUCCAUCAGCUACUGGAUGAAAGCCCUAGGAUGGCAUUUAAGGACACAUAAGAGAAAUGACGAAAGAGGGCAUAAUUUGAGGCUGGGGUCCGGACAAGCAAAUAAACCUGGACAGUUGACUUUAGGUCAUCUGGGUUUUUGCACUGAGGAGAGGUCCUCUGGAAACUCAUGCUUCCAUCCUGCCUGCGUUGGAUGAGAGUCCAGCCACCUCCAUCAGUCUCCAUGUCACAGAACACCUGGGGUUGGGCGUGGCACACAACAACACAGCUGAAAGCUCUUGGAGGGGCUAUAAGCCAACUCUCAGCCAGUCUAAAUGUAACUUGGCUGAACUCUGCCCUUCUCCAGCUACAGCGAACCUGAGGUCAAAGGGUGUCGGGAAAAUCCAGACUCAGACUCCCCGCCCACUGCCAUCAUCUUUCAAGGAGGCAGGUGAGGGACACCCUCUCACAGCCUUCUCCUUAUUUGUGAAGUGCAGAUGUUAACACAGUGAACUCUUUGUGCCCCAUUCUCCUCUGCAAAUGCUAUAAACCUUAGAGGACAUUCUGAA